rnacentral:rRNA from 1 species
GAUGAACGCUGGCGGCGUGCUUAACACAUGCAAGUCGAACGGGAUCCAAGGGGUGCUUGCACUUUUUGGUGAGAGUGGCGAACGGGUGAGUAACACGUGAGUAACCUGUCCUUUUCUUUGGGAUAAGCAUUCGAAAGGGUGUUUAAUACCUUAUGUUCUGUCUGCCUCGCAUGGGGUGGGUGGGAAAGGCUUUGGCCGGAUUUGGGUGGGCUCGCGGUCUAUCAGCUUGUUGGUGGGGUGAUGGCUUACCAAGGCUUUGACGGGUAGCCGGCCUGAGAGGGUGGUCGGUCACAUUUGGACUGAGAUCCGGCCCAGACUCCUGCGGGAGGCAGCAGUGGGGGAUAUUGCACAAUGGGCGAAAGCCUGAUGCAGCGACGCCGCGUGGGGGAUGAAGGCCUUCGGGUUGUAAACUUCUUUUGCUCUGAACAAGGCAUGCCAGUGGGUGUGUUGAGUGUAGGUGUUGAUUAGCGCCGGCUAACUACGUG